GACGAACGCAGGCGGCGUGCCUAACGCGUGCAAGUUGAGCGCUGAAGGUUGGUACUUGUACCAUCGAUGAGCAGCGAACGGUGAGUAACGCGUGGGGAAUUGCGUUUGAGCGGGGACAACAUUUGGAAACGAAUGCUAAUACCGCAUAAAAACUUUAACACAAGUUUUAAGUGAAAGAUGCAAUUGCAUCACUCAAAGAUGAUCCCGCGUUGUAUUAGUAGUUGGUGAGGUAAAGGCUCACCAAGGCGAUGAUACAUACCGACCUGAGAGGGUGAUCGGCCCAUGGACUGAGACACGGCCCAAACUCUACGGAGGCAGCAGUAGGAAUCUUCGGCAAUGGACGAAAGUCUGACCGAGCAACGCCCUGAGUGAAGAAGGUUUCGGAUCGUAAAACUCUGUUGGUAGAGAAGAACGUGGUGAGAGUGGAAAGCUCAUCAAGUGACCGGUACUCCCAGAA
rnacentral:rRNA from 1 species